AUGUUGAACAAUUUAUAAUGGGAAAAGGGAAUCAACUUUUUCAAAAGGAAAGAGUUACUGAGUUGAGGAAAAGGACAGGAGAGGAAGUGGGGCACAGAGAU